rnacentral:lncRNA from 1 species
AUGGAGGUCAGAAGUCCAAAAUGGAGGUCAGAAGCCCAAAAUGGAGGUCAGAAGUUCAAAAUGGAGGUCAGAAGCCCAAAAUGGAGGUCAGAAGUUCAAAAUGGAGGUCAGAAGCCCAAAGUGGAGGUCAGAAGUUCAAAAUGGAGGUCAAAAGUUCAACAUGGAGGUCAGAAGUCCAAAAUGGAGGUCAAAAGUUCAACAUGGAGGUCAGAAGUCCAAAAUGGAGGUCAGAAGUCCAAAAUGGAGGUCAGAAGUUCAACAUGGAGGUCAGAAGUCCAAAAUGGAGGUCGAAGUCCAAAAUGGAAGUCAAAGUUCAACAUGGAGGUCAGAAGUCCAAAAUGGAGGUCAGAAGUCCAAAAUGGAGGUCAAAAGUCCAAAAUGGAGGUCAGAAGUCCAAAAUGGAGGUCAGGAGUUCAAAACGGGUUUCCCUUAGGUGAAAUCAUGGUGUUGGCAGAUGGGGUUCCCUUGCCUUCGCAGCUUUUUUUUUUUUCCAAUAUAUGAAAUUUAUUGUCAAAUUGGUUUCCAUACAACACCCAGUGCUCAUCCCAAAAGGUGCCCUCCUCAAUACCCAUCACCCACCCUCCCCUCCCUCCCACCCCCCAUCAACCCUCAGUUUGUUCUCAGUUUUUAACAGUCUCUUAUGCUUUGGCUCUCUCCCACUCUAACCUCUUUUUUUUUUUUUUCCUUCCCCUCCCCCAUGGGUUCCUGUUAAGUUUCUCAGGAUCCACAUAAGAGUGAAACCAUAUGGUAUCUGUCUUUCUCUGUAUGGCUUAUUUCACUUAGCAUCACACUCUCCAGUUCCAUCCACGUUGCUACAAAAGGCCAUAUUUCAAUCUUUCUCAUUGCCACGUAGUACUCCAUUGUGUGUAUAAACCACAAUUUCUUUAUCCAUUCAUCAGUUGAUAGACAUUUAUUGCCUUCCCAGCUUCUAGAGGUCACCUGCACUCUGCAUCCCUUGGCUUGUAGCUCCUUCCUCCAUCUUGAAGUCCUGCAGUUUAACAUUUCAAAUCUGUGUGUCUUUCUUUCCCCACUCCCCACUCUUUCUCUCUCUGAUCUCUGCUACUAGUAUCAUUUCUCCCUGUAUGACUCUCACCCUCUGGC